AUGACCUUCAUCACCAUGUUGAUCUGGACGCUGACGGUGUUUUGUAGAGAAUCUAUCGGGCAGGUGACGGUGAGUCAAAGUCCAUCGGAGCUGCUCGCUCAAACUGGACAAUCAGUCACUGUGACCUGUUCAUUUAACACAGAUCCAGACUGCUGUCACAACACACACCAUUUUCUUAGCUGGUACCUUAAGAAACCUGAAGAAGCUCCUAAACUCUUGAUUUAUGCAUCAAUCAGUCGGGCUUCAGGAGCUCCAUCUAGAUUUGCUGGCAGCAUAUCAUCUGGGAGAGAUUUCUCUCUGACCAUCAGUGAAGUCCAGACUGAAGAUGCUGGACAUUAUUACUGUCAGAGUUAUCACUAUAUCAACAGUAAAGAUGUGUUCACAAAGUGA